UACGGGGGGGGCAAGCGUUGUUCGGAAUCACUGGGCGUAAAGGGCUCGUAGGCGGCCAACUAAGUCCGACGUGAAAUCCCCAGGCUUAACCUGGGAACUGCGUCGGAUACUGGAUGGCUUGAAUCCGGGAGAGGGAUGCGGAAUUCCAGGUGUAGCGGUGAAAUGCGUAGAUAUCUGGAGGAACACCGGUGGCGAAGGCGGCAUCCUGGACCGGCAUUGACGCUGAGGAGCGAAAGCCAGGGGAGCAAACGGG
rnacentral:rRNA from 1 species